rnacentral:rRNA from 1 species
GGAUGAACGCUAGCGGCAGGCUUAACACAUGCAAGUCGAGGGGUAGAGGAAGCUUGCUUCCUUGAGACCGGCGCACGGGUGCGUAACGCGUAUACAAUCUACCUUUUACAGAGGGAUAGCCCAGAGAAAUUUGGAUUAAUACCUCAUAGUAUUUUUGAAUCGCAUGAUUUGAUUAUUAAAGUUCCAACGGUAAAAGAUGAGUAUGCGUCCCAUUAGCUAGAUGGUAAGGUAACGGCUUACCAUGGCUACGAUGGGUAGGGGUCCUGAGAGGGAGAUCCCCCCACACUGGUACUGAGACACGGACCAGACUCCUACGGGAGGCAGCAGUGAGGAAUAUUGGACAAUGGGCGCAAGCCUGAUCCAGCCAUGCCGCGUGCAGGAAGAAGGUCCUAUGGAUUGUAAACUGCUUUUAUACAGGAAGAAACACUCCCUCGUGAGGGAACUUGACGGUACUGUAAGAAUAAGGAUCGGCUAACUCCGUG